rnacentral:rRNA from 1 species
GUAGGUGGCAAGCGUUGUCCGGAAUUAUUGGGCGUAAAGCGCGCGCAGGUGGUUCUUUAAGUCUGAUGUGAAAGCCCCCGGCUCAACCGGGGAGGGUCAUUGGAAACUGGGGAACUUGAGUGCAGGAGAGGAAAGUGGAAUUCCACGUGUAGCGGUGAAAUGCGUAGAUAUGUGGAGGAACACCAGUGGCGAAGGCGACUUUCUGGCCUGUAACUGACACUGAGGCGCGAAAGCGUGGGGAGCAAACAGGAUUAGAUACCCUGGCAGUCCACGCCGUAAACGAUGAGUGCUAAGUGUUGGGGGGGUUUCCCGCCCCUCAGUGCUGCAGCUAACGCAUUAAGCACUCCGCCUGGGGAUACGGUCGCAAGACUG